UUGCUUGGGCUGCAGGUCCCCGUGUUCUUUAUUUUUCCAUGGAUCAUAAAUCUGCACUGAAUUGGAGGCUGACUGAGACCCACUGAUGUCCAAAUCAACUCUUCUAGAAAGAAAGAGUACUCCACACCACGAAACGUAUCUCCUAAUAUUUCAUUGUCCUCCAGAAAAAUAGGGGGAGACACUAGCAAUUCUCUCAGCAAGGCCCCUUGAAUUUACCUCUAAUUCAGCUCAUGAGCGGCCACUCCUCCAUCAUCUUUGGAUUUUAUUCUUGGACAUAGAGUGUGAACAGCAAUAAGGUUCCUUAUCAGCCUAGAGUGUCCUAUGUCUGGCUCAAUGACUUCCACACUAAACGUUUCCCAGGUCAUGGUGAAAGACCCUCAUGGGAAUCCCUUGUGAGGCUUUUUGGUCCUCUGAAAGGAAUCAUUGAACAUUGCUUGGACUCCAGCACAAGACAGCUUGUUAUCUCAGGAGAGCCUUGAUUUUCUUUUGCUCUGAUGUGGAAUCCAAAGUGUCUCUCAACAGCACUACUGGACACAAUUUUUAGGCAUGACAUCAACACAGAUGGUUUCUGUGACAAUGACUCAACUUCAUCUGCACCAGUGAGAGGCCAGUCUGAUGUGUGAGAACACUGCUCCACCUUGGACUUGUCUUUGUCGUGGUUCCUGCCUUUCCCAGAUAGCCCCUGAGAUGCCCAGGAUGAAGGGAGGCAAUGAGGUGAAGAGCCCAUUAAUAGGUGGCUGACAGGUGCCUCUGGGGUCUCAUUUAGGAUUCUGUCACCUUGGAACCCUCCACAACACACCAGACUAUAUUUCAAUUCCCAUGAGACCUGAUUAUUGCACAUAGCCUCUUUUGGGAAUGGAGUCAGAAAAGAAGUUUGCAACAGCCAACUCGCAGAUUCAAAAUGCACCUUCCUUCAGUGUGCCCUGAUCACGGAGAUGGCCUGAAGUUGCUCUGACAUCUAGACUUUUAGGGUCCUGCAGUGCCUUUUCACAGGUAUCCUUUUUCCUGAAACCAGGUAGGUUCUACCUGUAUCAUUUUCCUCUAGUGAGGCAUGCUGAGAGCUCUGACACUGGGGCUGCCAGGCUGCCUCCUGUGUGCACAUGUAGUAGUCUUAGGGCACCAGGCCACAGUGUGAGCUUUGGCUAGCAUCACAAUGAAUGUCACCAUUUCCUGGGGAAAAGUCCUGGCGGCUUGGCCAAGAAGGAGAUUUCCGUGGAAGUGAGUUAGUAGCAGACUCUCACCUGUCUUCUCUGUGGGAUCCAUGAUAUAGUCCCAUGAUUGAAGAAGAGGGCAAACCUGAGACAGCCUGAAAAUAUAUCAAGCACAGCAAAGCAAUAAACCGCAAAAUCCCUAAGGUUUGAAAGAAUCUGCAGGAUUCCUCAGGCCUGCCUAGACAUUGUAGGCAUGAGUCUUUUUGAAACUUGCCCCACUGUAAUUUCUAGGUACAGCCUACCUCUGUUCCCCAGGGUUGCUCUCUCCCAGGUGGGGCUUCCUGCAGAAACGAAGAGCCUGAGGAGCUUCUGGGCUGUGUGUUUCUGUAGGACUGUUGUGAAUGUUAGAUGUCUUUGUGUGACUGUGUGGCAUUUUGUUUGUGUAAGUUUGUGUUUGUGACUGUAAAUUAAGUCUGGUUAAAGCAAUGUGAAUAACACCCUUCACUGCUUCAUUUUUUGAGUCUCCCAACCUUUUGAUGGCCUUUGUCUGUGUGGCUCUGCUUGGGCUGCUGGGCUUUAUGUAAUUUAAUUUUCUGUGGAUCUUAAAUCUGCAGUUAAUUGGAAGGUAGACAGAGACCCGCCAGCAUCCAAAUCACCUUCCCUGAAAAAAAAGCCACCCUUCCAGAAAGAAGAGAAGCACACCACAGCACAAAAAGACAGACAUCUCCCAGUGUUUUAUUGUCCUAAGGCAAACCUAGGGAGAGACACUAGCAGUUCUGUCUGCAGGACCUCUUGAAUUUGCCUGAAAUUUGGUUCCAAAGUGAGCAGGGGCUUCAUGUUAUGAGGAGACACUCCACUAUUGUCAUGGAAUUUCAUUCUGGGACAUAGAGUUUUUGCAGCAGUUAGGCCAGAUAGCUGUGAGGAUGCAAUUUGGUGAGGAGUGGAUGGGUUUUCAAAACUUCACUUUCAAAUAAAAUGAAGUCAGAUGACACAGAAAGUUUCCCAACUCCAUCCCCGCAUUCCCUUUAUUGCACAAGCAUUUCCCAUCAUGGCUUUUUUUUCAGGGAGGAGUAUUCCAACGUGGAAGAAACACUUGGGGUGCCAACUGGGGCCAUCCUGGAAACUCCUGAUUGGGGAGCUUUCAUACCGCGAGCCAAGUGGGAGUGGAAUGGAUUGAUGCUGGAUGGGAUAUGGCUUCCACACUUGCCUCUUCCUUACUAGACUUCCAUGUUCCUUGUCCUCCUAAGGUUUCCUGGGUCUGGCUCAACGACUUCCACUCUAAACAUUUCCCAGUGCAAAGAGAUUAAAGCUCAUGAGAAUCCUUCGUUUGAGUGUUUCCUUCUAAACCCUGUCAGAUUUUAAAGACUGAGAAGCUUUAAUACUUUUAAAAGUAUGAAUUCCCUUUACAGCAGCCAACAAGGAUAUUAUUGUUUUCCCACUUCUAUCAGAGGACUGCACGAUUUCUGUAGGAUGAGAAGUAGGCAGCCAUGUCUCACUUUUGCCUGGUAAUUUAGCCUCUGCUUCAUUUUAGUUGCACAGCCUUUUCAUUGGGGAUGGGUUCUUUAAUUGUGCUGUUGCAGAAUGGGAUUAUCUCUUGCCACAGAUUAUUUAGCUGGCAGGGAUUACAAAGGGCAAAAGGAACUUUGGAUAACCUGGCCGCGAUAUACACUGUGGGUCAUUGUCUCGUUGUGGGGUCUGGGGUUGUUUGCACUUUGCAGGAAGCUUUUGGAUCCUGACAGCAAUCAUUGGACAUAGCUUGGACUGCAUAAUAAGGGAGCUCAUUCUCUCAGGUGAGACUUUGUUUUUCUUUGCUUUCGUGCCCAGUCCAAAGUGUGAGAACACUGCUCCACCUUGGACUUGCCUUUGUCUUUGCUCCUGCCAUUUUCAGAGAGCCUCUGUGAGGCCCAAAAUGAAGGGAGGUAUUGAGGACAAGAGACCAGUCAUCCUUCACUGACACCUCCCUCUGGACUUUCAGGUAUAAUUCUAUCACCCAAAGAACCCUCAGCAACACACCAGACUAUAUUUCAAUCCCCAUGGGACCAGAUUCUGGCACACUGCCUCUUUUGAGAAUAAAGUCAGAAGAGCGGUUUCCAGCAACCACCUCCCUAUGUCAAAAAGCCUUUUCCUCCAGCAGGAGUCGACCAUGGAAAUGGCCCAAUGGGGCCUUAGAUCGGGAUGUUUAGUGUUUUGAGGUGGAUUUUCACAAGGAGCAUUUUUCCCAAUACCAGGGCGGCUGUACCUGUAUUUUUUUUUUUUUUUUUGCUUAGGCUAGCUGAAAGCUCUGGCAACAUGGUGCUUGAGCCUGCUUCAUGAAUGUCCAUGCACUAGUCUCAGGGCAGCAGGCCUGAUUGUGAGCUUUGGCUAGCAUCACAAUAAAUGUCACCAUUGCCAACUGACAAGUCCUUGAGGCUUGGCAAAGAAGAACUCCGUGGAGGUCCGUCAGCUUUGGAUUCUCACCUGUCUUCUCUGUGGGAUCCCUGGGAGAGUCCCAUGAUCCUAGGAGAAGGCAGACAUGAGCCAGCCUGAAGAAAGAUCAAGUAUAGACCCAGGAAUAAACUGUGAAAUCACAAUGAUCCAAAAUAAUCUACAGAAUUCCUCAGGUCUGCUAGACAUUGUACGGAAUCCACAGUGCCCCUCAACAGAACUACUGACAGCCAUUUCAGGCUUGCAUUGACAAAGAUGGCCUCGAAGACAUUGACUGGACCGCAUCUGAACCCAUGAGACAUCAUUAUGAGGUGUGAGAACAAUGUUUCACCUUGGACUUGCCUUUGUGAUGGUUUCUGCCUUUCCCAGAGAGUCCCUGUGAGGCUCAGGAUGAAGGCAGGCAGUGAGGUCCAAGGGUCCAGUCAUCUUUUGCUGAAACCCACCUCUGGAUUCUCAG